rnacentral:rRNA from 1 species
UACGUAGGGUGCAAGCGUUAAUCGGAAUUACUGGGCGUAAAGCGUGCGCAGGCGGUUCGCUAAGACAGAUGUGAAAUCCCCGGGCUUAACCUGGGAACUGCAUUUGUGACUGGCGGGCUAGAGUAUGGCAGAGGGGGGUAGAAUUCCACGUGUAGCAGUGAAAUGCGUAGAGAUGUGGAGGAACACCGAUGGCGAAGGCAGCCCCCUGGGAUAACACUGACGCUCAUGCACGAAAGCGUGGGGAGCAAACAGG